CCUACGGGUGGCAGCAGUGAGGAAUAUUGGUCAAUGGGCGCUAGCCUGACCCAGCCAAGUAGCGUGAAGGAUGACUGCCCUAUGGGUUGUAAACUUCUUUUAUAUGGGAAUAAAGUGCAGUAUGUAUACUGCUUUGCCUGUGCCUUAUGAAUAAGGAUCGGCUAACUCCGUGCCAGCAGCCGCGGUAAUACGGAGGAUCCGCGCGUUAUCCGGGUUUAUUGGGUGUAAAGGGAGCGUAGGGGGGUCGAUAAGUCAGUUGUGAAAGUUGCGGGCUCAACCGUAAAAUUGCAGUUGAUACUGGUAGCCGUGAGUACAGUAGAGGUAGGCGGAAUUCGUGGUGUAGCGGUGAAAUGCUUAGAUAUCACGAAGAACUCCGAUUGCGAAGGCAGACUGCUGGACUGUAACUGACGCUGAUGCUCGAAAGUGUGGGUAUCAAACAGGAUUAGAUACCCGGGUAGUC
rnacentral:rRNA from 1 species